rnacentral:rRNA from 1 species
UACAGAGGGUGCGAGCGUUGUCCGGAAUCACUGGGCGUAAAGGGUGCGUAGGCGGGUUUUUAAGUCAGGGGUGAAAUCCUGGAGCUCAACUCCAGAACUGCCUUUGAUACUGAAGAUCUUGAGUCCGGGAGAGGUGAGUGGAACUGCGAGUGUAGAGGUGAAAUUCGUAGAUAUUCGCAAGAACACCAGUGGCGAAGGCGGCUCACUGGCCCGGUACUGACGCUGAGGCACGAAAGCGUGGGGAGCAAACAGG